rnacentral:rRNA from 1 species
UUUUUAUGGAGAGUUUGAUCCUGGCUCAGGAUGAACGCUGGCGGCGUGCCUAAUACAUGCAAGUCGAGCGAACAGACGAGGAGCUUGCUCCUCUGACGUUAGCGGCGGACGGGUGAGUAACACGUGGAUAACCUACCUAUAAGACUGGGAUAACUUCGGGAAACCGGAGCUAAUACCGGAUAAUAUAUUGAACCGCAUGGUUCAAUAGUGAAAGACGGUUUUGCUGUCACUUAUAGAUGGAUCCGCGCCGCAUUAGCUAGUUGGUAAGGUAACGGCUUACCAAGGCAACGAUGCGUAGCCGACCUGAGAGGGUGAUCGGCCACACUGGAACUGAGACACGGUCCAGACUCUACGGGAGCAGC